CCUGCCCACUGAUAUUAAUAUUAAAAGGCUGCGGUAUUUUGACUGUACAAAGGUAGCAUAAUAAUUAGGUUUUUAAUUAAAAUCUUGAAUGAAUGGAGUUACAAAAUAAAAACUGUCUUUUUAUUUUUUCUUGAAUUUAACUUUUAAGUUAAAAGGCUUAAAUACUAUAAAAAGACGAUAAGACCCUAUAAAACUUUAUUCUUAGGUUAAUUACUUAUAUUUAUUAACGAGAAAUAUAAUUUAUUUAUAGAAUUUAAUUGGGGAGUAUAAUAUUUAAUAAAUAAUUUUUUUAUAAUAGUUCAUAAAUAAAUGGUUUAUUAAAGAUCCUAUAUUAUAGAUUUAAAAUUAAGUUACUUUAGGGAUAACAGCGUUAUUUUUUUUGAGAGUUCAUAUCGAAGAAAUUAGUUACGACCUCGAUGUUGAAUUAAAUUAUUAUAUAAAGCAUAAAUUAUAUGAAAUAGGUCUGUUCGACCUUUAGAUAUUUACGUGAUCUGAGUUCACACCGGA
rnacentral:rRNA from 1 species